rnacentral:snRNA from 1 species
GUUGAUUUCUGAACGUAUAAUAAGAUUGGAACAAUGCAAAGAAGGUUACCAUGGUCCCUGGCAAGGAUUGCAGGCAAAUUCAUGAAGAGGUCCAAAAUUUU